AUUUUGGCCAAUGGGGGCAACCCUGAUCCAGCCAUCCCGCGUGUGCGAUGAAGGCCUUCGGGUUGUAAAGCACUUUUGUCAGGGAAGAAAAGGCUCUGGCUAAUACCUGGAGCUGCUGACGGUACCUGCAGAUUAAGCACCGGUUAAUUAGUUGCCAGCAGCCGCGGGAAUACGUAGGGUGCAAGCGUUAAUCGGAAUUACUGGGCGUAAAGCGUGCGCAGGCGGUUCGGCAAGAAGGAUGUGAAAUCCCAGGGCUUAACCUUGGAACUGCAUUCUUAACUGCCGGGCUAGAGUAUGUCAGAGGGGGGUAGAAUUCCGCGUGUAGCAGUGAAAUGCGUAGAGAUGCGGAGGAAUACCGAUGGCGAAGGCAGCCCCCUGGGAUAAUACUGACGCUCAUGCACGAAAGCGUGGGGAGCAAAC
rnacentral:rRNA from 1 species